rnacentral:lncRNA from 1 species
GUGUUUUCUCUAUUUCAUUUUACUUUAAUAGUUUUUUUUUGCUAUUUUUUUGGUUAUUUUUUUUGUUUUGGUGUAUUUUUUGUAAUGUAGAUAAAGUCUAUAGUUUUUUUUUUGCAUAAUUCAUUGCUAAAGUAUAUAGUUUUUUUUUUUGAAUUUUUUGAAUAUUUUUUAUUGUUGUAUUGGCAUAAUUAUUAUUAGUUAAUUUGUUGAAUUUUUAUUGUUAAUGUUGAAUUUACCAUAGAAUUAGUAAUUGAAUAUGUUGGAAUAAUU